rnacentral:rRNA from 1 species
GACGAACGCUGGCGGCGUGCUUAACACAUGCAAGUCGAACGGAAAGGCCCUGCUUUUGUGGGGUGCUCGAGUGGCGAACGGGUGAGUAACACGUGAGUAACCUGCCCUUGACUUUGGGAUAACUUCAGGAAACUGUUGCUAAUACCGGAUAGGAGCUCCUGCUGCAUGGUGGGGUUUGGACAGUUUCGGCGGUUGGGGAUGGACUCGCGGCUUAUCAGCUUGUUGGUGGGGUAGUGGCUUACCCAGGCUUUGACGGAUAGCCGGCCUGAGAGGGUGACCGGCCACAUGGGGACUGAGAUACGGCCCAGACGCCUACGGGAGGCAGCAGUGGGGAAUAUUGCACAAUGGGCGGAAGCCUGAUGCAGCAACGCCGCGUGCGGGAUGACGGCCUUCGGGUUGUAAACCGCUUUCGCCUGUGACGAAGCGUGAGUGACGGUAAUGGGUAAAGAAGCACCGGCUAACUACGUG